GAAGAUACAGCUCAGUAGUAGAGUGCGUGCUUAGCAUGCACAAGGUCCAGGGUUCAAUCCCCAGUACCUUUG
rnacentral:tRNA from 1 species